GGGGUAUAUGUCUUCGGAUAUAGAGACCGGCGCACGGGUGCGUAACGCGUAUGCAAUCUACCUUUUACAGAGGGAUAGCCCAGAGAAAUUUGGAUUAAUACCUCAUAGUAUAGCUCUACCGCAUGGUAGUACUAUUAAAGUCACAACGGUAAAAGAUGAGCAUGCGUCCCAUUAGCUAGUUGGUAAGGUAACGGCUUACCAAGGCAACGAUGGGUAGGGGUCCUGAGAGGGAGAUCCCCCACACUGGUACUGAGACACGGACCAGACUCCUACGGGAGGCAGCAGUGAGGAAUAUUGGACAAUGGGCGCAAGCCUGAUCCAGCCAUGCCGCGUGCAGGAUGACGGUCCUAUGGAUUGUAAACUGCUUUUGUACGAGAAGAAACACUGCUUCGUGAAGCAGCUUGACGGUAUCGUAAGAAUAAGGAUCGGCUAACUCCGUGCCAGCAGCCGCGGUAAUACGGAGGAUCCAAGCGUUAUCCGGAAUCAUUGGGUUUAAAGGGUCCGUAGGCGGUUUAGUAAGUCAGUGGUGAAAGCCCAUCGCUCAACGGUGGAACGGCCAUUGAUACUGCUGAACUUGAAUUAUUAGGAAGUAACUAGAAUAUGUAGUGUAGCGGUGAAAUGCUUAGAGAUUACAUGGAAUACCAAUUGCGAAGGCAGGUUACUACUAAUUGAUUGACGCUGAUGG
rnacentral:rRNA from 1 species